rnacentral:tRNA from 1 species
GCCCGGAUAGCUCAGUGGUAGAGCAACUCCAUGGUAAGGAGUAGGUCGUCGGUUCAAAUCCGAUUCCGGGCU